GAGAAACCUUGGCGGACUGCUCAGUAACACGUGGAUAACCUACCCUUGGGACUGGAAUAACCCCGGGAAACUGGGGAUAAUACCGGAUAGAUCAGGGAUGCUGGAAUGCACCUUGAUCCAAAGCUCCGGCGCCCAAGGAUGGGUCUGCGGUCUAUCAGGUUGUAGUGGGUGUAACGUACCUACUAGCCGACGACGGGUACGGGUUGUGAGAGCAAGAGCCCGGAGAUGGAUUCUGAGACACGAAUCCAGGCCCUACGGGGUGCAGCAGGCGCGAAAUCUUUACAAUGUGCGAAAGCAUGAUAAGGGAACUCCGAGUGCCAGUAUCUAAUACUGGCUGUCCUUGUGCCUAAAACGCACAAGAUAGCAGGGGCCGGGUAAGACCGGUGCCAGCCGCCGCGGUAACACCGGCGGCCCGAGUGGUAGCCGCUAUUAUUGGGUCUAAAGGGUCCGUAGCCGGUUCGAUAAGUCCUCUGGGAAAUCUGGUUGCUUAACAAUCAGACUGCCAAGGGAUACUGUCGAACUUGAGACCGGGAGAGGUAAGAGGUACUUCAGGGGUAGGAGUGAAAUCUUGUAAUCCCUGGGGGACCAUCUGUGGCGAAGGCGUCUUACCAGAACGGGUCUGAC
rnacentral:rRNA from 1 species